CUACGUAGGGUGCAAGCGUUAAUCGGAAUUACUGGGCGUAAAGCGUGCGCAGGCGGUUUUGUAAGACAGUGGUGAAAUCCCCGGGCUCAACCUGGGAACUGCCAUUGUGACUGCAAGGCUGGAGUGCGGCAGAGGGGGAUGGAAUUCCGCGUGUAGCAGUGAAAUGCGUAGAUAUGCGGAGGAACACCGAUGGCGAAGGCAAUCCCCUGGGCCUGCACUGACGCUCAUGCACGAAAGCGUGGGGAGCAAACAGGAUUAGAUACCCUGGUAGUCCACGCCCUAAACGAUGUCAACUGGUUGUUGGGUCUUCAUUGACUCAGUAACGAAGCUAACGCGUGAAGUUGACCGCCUGGGGAGUACGGCCGCAAGGUUGAAACUCAAAUGAAUUGACGGGG
rnacentral:rRNA from 1 species